UACGUAGGGUGCAAGCGUUAAUCGGAAUUACUGGCGUAAAGCGUGCGCAGGCGGUUCGCUAAGACAGAUGUGGAAAUCCCCGGGCUUAACCUGGGAACUGCAUUUGUGACUGGCGGCUAGAGUAUGGCAGAGGGGGUAGAUCCAACGUGCAGCAGUGAAAUGCGUAGAGAUGUGGAGGAAUACCGAUGGCGAAGGCAGCCCCUGGGCCAAUACUGACGCUCAUGCACGAAAGCGUGGGGAGCAAACAGG
rnacentral:rRNA from 1 species